UUGGAGGGCAAGUCUGGUGCCAACCAACGAAGCCCGCGCGCAAGGAAUUGAAACCACGCUCGCACGCUACACAACCGAACGCACGAAGGCCAUCUAUUACAACACGCCGCAGAAUCCGAGCGGAGUCGUCUUUACUCCUCAGGAGGCGCAGGUCGUGGCGCGCUUUGCUCAGGAGCGCGAUCUGAUCGUGAUUGCAGAUGAGGCGUACGAGGAUCUGGUUUAUGACGGCGAACAUUUUUCCAUCGCUUCCCUGCCCGCAAUGUUUGAGCGAACGAUUACGGUGUUCACACUUUCAAAGUCUUAUGCGAUGACGGGCUGGCGUUUGGGUUACACCGCCGCCGCGGAGCCAUGGAUGACGGGUCUGCGCAAGACUACCCUCUAUUCUUCAAAUGGAGUCUCGACGCCGUCGCAGUGGGCAGCGCUGGGGGCUUUGACAACCGAGACAGAUAUGCUUGAGACGAAUCGCCUCGCUUAUCUCAAGCGGCGCGAUUUGCUUUUGGCAGGCCUGAACGAGCUUGGUCUACAUUGCGAGAAACCCGCCGGCGCCUUACGGGAAAC
rnacentral:rRNA from 1 species